AUUGAACGCUGGCGGCAGGCCUAACACAUGCAAGUCGAGCGGCAGCGGAAUGUAGCUUGCUCCUUUGCCGGCGAGCGGCGGACGGGUGAGUAAUGUCUGGGAAACUGCCUGAUGGAGGGGGAUAACUACUGGAAACGGUAGCUAAUACCGCAUAACGUCGCAAGACCAAAGAGGGGGACCUUCGGGCCUCUUGCCAUCAGAUGUGCCCAGAUGGGAUUAGCUAGUAGGUGGGGUAACGGCUCACCUAGGCGACGAUCCCUAGCUGGUCUGAGAGGAUGACCAGCCACACUGGAACUGAGACACGGUCCAGACUCCUACGGGAGGCAGCAGUGGGGAAUAUUGCACAAUGGGCGCAAGCCUGAUGCAGCCAUGCCGCGUGUAUGAAGAAGGCCUUCGGGUUGUAAAGUACUUUCAGCGGGGAGGAAGGUGUUGAGGUUAAUAACCUCAGCAAUUGACGUUACCCGCAGAAGAAGCACCGGCUAACUCCGUG
rnacentral:rRNA from 1 species